rnacentral:rRNA from 1 species
UACGUAGGGCGCAAGCGUUGUCCGGAAUUAUUGGGCGUAAAGAGCUCGUAGGCGGUCUGUUACGUCCGCUGUGAAAACCCAGGGCUUAACCCUGGGCUUGCAGUGGAUACGGACAGACUAGAGGCAGGUAGGGGAGAAUGGAAUUCCCGGUGUAGCGGUGAAAUGCGCAGAUAUCGGGAGGAACACCAAUGGCGAAGGCAGCUCGCUGGGACGGUACUGACGCUGAGACGCGAAAGCGUGGGGAGCAAACAGG